GGGGACGGGGAGCGCCGCUGGGAGAGAGCGGGAGGCGUCAUGUGUCCGGCACUUCUGAACGCCAGUGUGAGGGAGGUGUCAGUGAGCUUAACAAACGGAAACAGAAACCUGGGAAGCCGCAAAAUCCGCUUCAGGAAAGUACAGCAGGAAGGAUUCGAGAAGUGAGCAGCAUCCCAACACUGUUCUCAAGAUAACUUGAAAGAAACAAACAGCACCUCGACUGAGCUGCAAAUAUAGAGCAAUCUCUAUGGAAAUACAACCUUCAGGUGGCCCAAGAUCCUCACAAGAGCUCUGUGGUCUGGGGCAGGCAUGAAAAACAACAGAUUCUUUUCCCGUGCUGAUGCAGCCUGUGAUGGUCUCCAGCAUCCCAGAAUUGACCAUCUUGUACAGAAGUAAACGUGUUUUCGGAUCCACUGCUUUCUCCUACAAGAGAUUAUUAAAAUGAAUAGGCAAGACAUGAAUAGUCUUUACCAUGAGUUUAAAAUACUUAUAUACCACAAGAGCUCAACUAAGUGGAAAGAAUAAUAGAAGGAAGAAAAAACAAAGCCAAAAUAAACAUCUGAAGCAAAGCAAAUCUUUUUCAGGACUGAUUUAAUGAUUUAAUACUCUUAGUUUCCCAUCAGCUGUGCAGCACUAGAAUAUUUUACUAAUUGCACACAUAGACUGAGGCUCAACAACACUUUCUACAGUGUUUUCAAGAAGCCUUUAUAAAUCAUGAAUCACAAUAUCCCAAGUAUUAUAUUUCUUUAAUAUAAGUAACAAUAAAGCAAAGCAAAAGACACAAACUUGAAGAAGUCCACAUCAGGAAUUACCAGAGGCCCUACUUCAAACUCAUCCAUACAGUCUGCCAAGUAAACUCCUAAAUUAUUAGGUCAGUUGGUCACCUCAUCCUCGUGAAACUUGUUAUGACGACAGAUAUUUGGAGCCAUGUGGUUCAACUGCAGAGGAUUAGUCCCCUGGAUAUUUCUAUAAAUAACUUCCAGGCAGUUUAUUCAACGUAGCUGAUUAAGAGACAAGUUUAGAAAGACAAAGAGAAACAAACAGUAGCUGCUUGCUCUUACUUCAACAUGGUUCUCACAGUAAUGCAGCUCAAACAAACAGCCUUUUUCUAGUAGGAGCUGGCUGAUACCGUUUCCUUCAGCAAUGUUAACAAUGUUGCUUAGCUGUUUUACUAAAAAUGGAAUGCUGCAAGAAGGUACCCAGAAUUUAGCUAUUACACAAGAUAAGGAGUAGAAAGAGAGACUUUUUUA